rnacentral:rRNA from 1 species
GAUGAACGCUGGCGGCGUGCUUAACACAUGCAAGUCGAACGGUGAACACGGAGCUUGCUCUGUGGGAUCAGUGGCGAACGGGUGAGUAACACGUGAGCAACCUGCCCCUGACUCUGGGAUAAGCGCUGGAAACGGCGUCUAAUACUGGAUAUGUGACGUGACCGCAUGGUCUGCGUUUGGAAAGAUUUUUCGGUUGGGGAUGGGCUCGCGGCCUAUCAGCUUGUUGGUGAGGUAAUGGCUCACCAAGGCGUCGACGGGUAGCCGGCCUGAGAGGGUGACCGGCCACACUGGGAUUGAGACACGGCCCAGAAUCCUACGGGAGGCAGCAGUGGGGAAUAUUGCACAAUGGGCGAAAGCCUGAUGCAGCAACGCCGCGUGAGGGAUGACGGCCUUCGGGUUGUAAACCUUUUUUAGCAGGGAAGAAGCGAAAGUGACGGUACCUGCAGAAAAAGCGCCGGCUAACUACGUG